rnacentral:rRNA from 1 species
AUGGCUCAGGACGAACGCUGGCGGCGUGCUUAACACAUGCAAGUUGAACGGUAUGACAUGGAAGCUUGCUGAAGUGUCAUAUAGUAGCGGACGGGUGAGUAAUGCAUGAGAAGCUGCCAUUGGGAGGGGGACAACAGUUGGAAACGGCUGCUAAUACCCCGUAUGCCGGAGGGUGAAAAGGGAGUAAUCCGCCCGAUGAGGUGCUCAUGUCCUAUCAGCUGGUUGGUGGGGUAACGGCCUACCAAGGCGACGACGGGCAGCCGGCCUGAGAGGGUGAACGGCCACACUGGAACUGAGAUACGGUCCAGACUCCUACGGGAGGCAGCAGUGGGGAAUAUUGGGCAAAUGGGGGGCAACCCUGACCCAGCGACGCCGCGUGGGGGAAGACGGCCUUCGGGUUGUAAACCUCUUUUGUACGGGAAGAAGGAAGUGACGGUACUGUACGAAUAAGUCCCGGCUAACUACGUGCCAGCCGCUGC